GCGGCCGCCCGCCCCUUACGCCGUGCCCGGAGCCUGGCGGCGGCCGAGCUGACGGCGGUGUUGUGUCUCGUCGGUGGCAGCUAUGAGGUCGCUGUGUCUCGUCACCGUGGGGGUCCUGGCUCUGACGCUGCUCAUCGCCAGCAUCUCCUUGUUGGUGGCGCACGUCUUCCAGACGGUGGUGGACCUGCAAGUGAAGCAGGGGACAGUGUUAAAAAAUGGCACAGAAACCUUUGAAGCUUGGGAAGAUCCUCCUCCACCAGUCUACAUGCAGUUUUACUUUUUUAAUGUGACAAAUCCACUAGAAGUGCUUCAAGGUGCUACUCCUCUUGUAGAGGAAAAAGGGCCAUAUACCUACCGAGAAUACAGGCCAAGAGUACAUGUUCAGUUUUUGGACAAUGGCACCAAAGUAUCUGCUCUGAAUCCAAAGACGUAUGUAUUUGAACCUCAGAAGUCAGUUGGAAACCCUGAAGUGGAUCUGAUUAGAACAAUUAAUGUUCCUGCAGUGACUGCAAUGGAGUGGACCAGGGCAACCUCUCUUCAGUUUGCCACGGAGGUGCUAUUGCUCCUAUACCAAGAAUCCCUGUUUACAGUUCGCACAGUGCAUGAAUUACUGUGGGGCUACAAAGACAAACUCCUGUCAGCCAUUCAUGUUUUGCAUCCUGAAAUCGAUCCAGUGUUUGGCUUCUUUAAUAAGAUGAAUGGAACUGAUGAUGGAGAAUAUGUUUUCCUAAGUGGAGAAAUGAACUACCUUAACUUCUCAAGAAUUGUGGAAUGGAAAGGAAAAGAGUCACUGAGUUGGUGGACAACAAAGACUUGUAACAUGAUCAAUGGAACAGAUGGGACAUCUUUUCAUCCACUGAUUAGCAAAGAUGAGAACAUUUAUAUAUUUUCUUCUGAUUUUUGCAGAUCUCUUUACCUGGUGUACGACAGCUCAGGAAGUGUUGCAGGCGUCCCAACCUACCGCUUUGUGCCCUCCCCUAUGGUGUUUGCCAACACCACCGUUAACCCAGACAACGCUGGAUUCUGUGUACCACCAGGAAACUGCCCUGGUGCUGGUGUCCUCAAUGUUAGCAUCUGCAAGCAAGGUGCUCCCAUAUUUCUGUCAGCUCCACAUUUUUACCAAGCAGAACAAAAGUAUGUAAGUGACAUUGAGGGCAUGCACCCAACAAAGGAAUACCACGAGACAUUUGUGGACAUCAAUCCUCUGACAGGGCUUGUCCUGCAAGCAGCCAAGCGGAUGCAGAUCAAUGUUCAUGUCAGAAAAUUACCUGAAUUCUUUGAAACAGGCAACAUCCGAACACUAGUUUUCCCAGUGAUGUAUAUAAAUGAGAGUGUUCUGAUUGAUGAAGCAUCUGCCACCAAACUCAAGCACGUCCUGCUGGAAGCCAGUGUUGUAACUGGAAUCCCUUUUGUAAUCAUGGCAAUAGGAAUUGUUUUUGGGAUUGUUUUUAGUGUGCUUGUGUGCAGGUCCCAGGGAGUGAGAGAAGAGGGAAGGGAUGUUUUAAUAGACUCAGAAUAAAUGCACCAAGACAAAGGAAUGCAACUAAUAUAAGAGACAAUCGUGGUAAGGCAGAGCACUGAAGAAGAAAGGUCCCCGCUCAUCAGGACAUAGUAGUAGAUCUUCUUAAAUACGUGAGCUUGGAGAAUAAAUCAUUAGAGCUUACCUAAUACCAGCUACCACUACCCAGUGUUGUCCACUGUGGAGAAACAGUCGUGUCAAGUGUAACGUUCAAAGAUGGAAGAGAAUCUGCACUGUCGUCAGGGGAGGAGACUUUUCUUAGCAGCUAAGUUACAACUACUGAACUACAUUUUAAAACUGCUCGAGAUCCUGCUUUUUUCAGCCCCGCACUCUCUCGUACCUGCACUGACACUCAGAGACCAUCAUAACCACUUCCUCGGUGAAAAUAAAACGGCCUGAUUCGUUACAGAAACGACGGGUAACAUUUACAAAUGGCCUUAGGAGCGUGGGCUGCAAAGAACCCUUGUAGAGAUGCAGCAGGUUCCUGUGUCACUCACACACCUGUCGGUUUCCUGUAGCCUCACUGUUGUCUUUUCUGUAAAGUCCUGCGCGCUGCUUCCUGCCGGUUUGCACUGACUGUUUGGUAUUAAAGUACAGAACGGAUCUGUACAACUGA